rnacentral:rRNA from 1 species
AUGUAUUACAUGGGUUGUGUGAAGAUUACCUCAUUUGCGACAUUGCUUUCAAUGCGGUUAUGCCUCUAUGUCGUGCUUCGACACGUGGGAGAUAUAGCCGCAUCGAGGGCGUUACACUCUGUUAGAUACAAAAUAAGGUUUAACUCUCAGGAGACGGAUGUUUUCACCCCGACUAGGGGCAUUAGGCAGGGGGAUCCACUCUCCCCUUACAUUUUUCUCCAUUGUGCAGAAGGUCUUUCUAGUUUAUUGCAGUUUGAAGAAGAAGCUGGUGGCAUAGAGGGAAUUAGAGUGUGUAGAAAUGCACCAUCAGUAUUACACCUUUUAUUCGCUGAUUAUUCUCUGAUUCUCAUGAAAGCAAACGUUUUAAAUACAGCUUCCUUACAGCAUGUUCUAGAUGCCUACUGUGAAAGAUCGGGAUAA